rnacentral:lncRNA from 1 species
CUCCUCACACGUUUCACAUCAGCAGGAUCCAUAUUUUCAUUGGUUCCUGUGUCUCCUUCAAGGUCAUCAUCAUCCGAGUCUUCUCUUGAUGAUCCACUGGUUGUUUGCCUGGCUUGAACCUCUUGUUUUCUCUGUGUAAUAGGUAAAGCUGGAAUGCCAAGUGAUCCACCAUCUGAUUUUCUCUGAGUAGUAGGUAAAGCUGGAAUGCCGAGUGAUCCACCAUCUGAUUUUCUCUGAGUAGUAGGUAAAGCUGGAAUGCCGAGUGAUUCACCAUCUGAUUUUCUCUGUGUAGUAGGUAAAGCUGAAAUGCCGAGUGAUUCACCAUCUGAUUUUCUCUGCGUAGUAGGUAAAGCUGGAAUGCCGAGUGAUACACCAUCUUCCCCGA